rnacentral:tRNA from 1 species
GCCAACGUAGCUCAGUGGUAGAGCAGCUCAUUCGUAAUGAGCAGGUCGGAAGUUCAAUCCUUCUCGUUGGCUCCA